rnacentral:rRNA from 1 species
UACGUAGGGGGCAAGCGUUGUCCGGAAUCACUGGGCGUAAAGGGCGCGUAGGCGGUUUGUUAAGUCAGGUGUGAAAGUUUUCAGCUUAACUGGAAAAGUGCACUUGAAACUAACUUACUUGAGUACUGGAGAGGUAAGCGGAAUUCCUAGUGUAGCGGUGAAAUGCGUAGAUAUUAGGAAGAACACCGGUGGCGAAGGCGGCUUACUGGACAGAGACUGACGCUGAGGCGCGAAAGCGUGGGGAG